GUGAAAUUGGUCAAGUUGUCAAUUCCUAUAGUGCAAUUCUUAACGCGUUCUUGAUGUACUGACAAAAAUCAGGAUCAAAAUAUGGUGAUAGCAUAUUCAUACACAGGGUUUAACAUGGAAGAACUGUUCAAGUGGUGCUGUUGCAGUGGACAAACGGGUGGUGUUUAUAAAAUGGAUGUGAAAGUUACACAUAAUUCGCAAGUAUAUUUAAGUAAAGGGGUUUUAGAUUAGUUAGCUAUUCAGCCUCCACUUUUUUUAAUGUUUUUAUUUUUAAGAAUAUUAACCUAAUUCAUGUUGCAGACUUAACAGCCAUGGAGAUGACAAAGUAAACCUGUUGGAUUGAAGGUGGUUGGUGAAAAAAAAGAUUGCAGUUCUCCGGGCGUUGUACCGUGCUACGUGGUGACAACGAGCUCAUACCAGGUCUUGUAUUUGGACUCUGAACGUACGUCAAUUUUCUUUCAACGGCCGUCCUAGCAGGUCUGUUGUUGAAGCUCAACGUCGUGAAAUUCAUCUUUGUCGG